UCCUGAGAGUUGAACACUGGAUGACUGACAGCUGUCCUUCAUCACAACAGAAGACACAGAAAUCCUCCUCAUCAAAAACAUGACUUUGAUCUACGUCCUCAUCUGGACUCUCCUCUGCUUCACUCAGGGUUCAUCAGGAGACAUCAUCCUGACUCAGACUCCUGGAUCUCAGUCUGUUGUUCCAGGUCAGACUGUCUCCAUCAGAUGUGAAACCAAUUCUAGUGUUAAUAGCUACCUCCACUGGUACCUUCAGAAACCUGCAGGAGCUCCUAAACUCCUGAUUUAUUCAGCUUCAAACCGUCAGUCUGGAAUUCCAGCUCGUUUCAGUGGAAGUGGAUAUGGUGCUGACUUCACUCUGACCAUCAGUGGAGUUCAGGCUGAAGACUCAGGAGUUUAUUACUGUCAGCAGGGUAGCAGCUACCCGUUCACACAGUGAUAGAACGUCGUACAAAAACCUCCUCAGCUGGAGAGGAACUGAUCUGACUCAACAGCUGUUCUUAAACUAAACACUAAACUUUUCUUCAAAUGUUCAACUCUUCAUUAGUUAUGAAAAACUGGUUCUUAUGUACUUUUUGUUUUUAUACCCAUAGUUUGUUUGCUUGUUUUAAAUGUUCUAAGUAAAUCAGUUAGAGAUUUAUGUGUUCGGGUAUUUCAGAACCACUGACAUAUCAAGAAGAUUCUUAAACCUCAUUACUUUUUUAAAAUGAUAUAAUAAUAUAAAUUAGCCAUGAUAAUCUAUUUUAAAUUGACUGACUUCUGUUGAUAGUAAUUUCUCAUCAAUUUUAAAUGUCAUGUUUUGAAUUUCAUAAAUUACAAACAGAUGUUUUCUGUGUUUCAUGAAAAGAAAACCUCUUUCAGUAAAUGUUUAUAAACUGCA